AGUGGGGAAUCUUGCACAAUGGGCGAAGGCCUGAUGCAGCGACGCCGCGUGGGGGAUGAAGCUUCUCGGAGUGUAAACCCCUUUCGACCCGGACGAAUGCCCCGCAAGGGGACUGACGGUACGGGUAUAAGAAGCCCCGGCUAACUACGUGCCAGCAGCCGCGGUAAAACGUAGGGGGCCAGCGUUGCUCGGAAUUACUGGGCGUAAAGGGUCUGUAGGCGGUGCGGCAAGUCGGAAGUGAAAUCUGAGGGCUCAACCCUUAGACUGCUCCCGAAACUGCCGUGCUAGAGUGCGAGAGAGGCGGGUGGAAUUACGGGU
rnacentral:rRNA from 1 species